rnacentral:rRNA from 1 species
GACAGAGGGUGCAAACGUUGUUCGGAAUUACUGGGCGUAAAGCGCGUGUAGGCGGCCCUGCAAGUCGGAUGUGAAAUCCCACGGCUCAACCGUGGAAGUGCAUUCGAAACUGCAGGGCUAGAGUCCUGGAGAGGAAGGUGGAAUGCUUGGUGUAGAGGUGAAAUUCGUAGAUAUCAAGCGGAACACCGGUGGCGAAGGCGGCCUUCUGGGUCCGCCCUGACGCUGAGGCGCGAAAGCGUGGGGAGCGAACGGG